rnacentral:tRNA from 1 species
GCCCGGCUGGCUCAGUCGGUGGAGGGUGAGACUCUUGAUCUCAGGGUUUUGGGUUCAAGCCCCAUGCUGGGUG